rnacentral:rRNA from 1 species
CGCGGUAAUUCCAGCUCCAAUAGCGUAUAUUAACAUUGUUGUCGUUAAAAAGCUCGUAGUCGAACUUCGGGCCCUGCAGGCCGGUCCGCCUUCUUGGUGUGUACUUGCUCUGUGGGGCCUUACCUCCUGGUGAACGGCGAUGUCCUUUACUGGGUGUCGUCGCAAACCAGGACGUUUACUUUGAAAAAAUUAGAGUGUUCAAAGCAGGCCUUUGCUCGAAUACAUUAGCAUGGAAUAAUAGAAUAGGACGCGCGUUCCCAUUUUGUUGGUUUCUGAGAUCGCCGUAAUGAUUAAUAGGGAUAGUUGGGGGCAUUUGUAUUCCGUCGUCAGAGGUGAAAUUCUUGGAUUGCCGGAAGACAAACUACUGCGAAAGCAUUUGCCAAGGAUGUUUUCAUUGAUCAAGAACGAAGGAAGGGGGAUCGAAAACGAUUAGAUACCGUUGUAGUCUCUUCUGUAAACUAUGCCAAUUGGGGAUCGGCACAGGAUUUUUAAUGACUGUGUCGGCACCCGAAGAGAAAUCUUUAAAUGAGGUUCGGGGGGGAGUAUGGUCGCAAGGCUGAAACUUAAAGG